rnacentral:rRNA from 1 species
GACGAACGCUGGCGGCGCGCUUAACACAUGCAAGUCGAGCGAUGAAAUUUCGACAGAUCCCUUCGGGGUGAAGAUGAAAUGGAUUAGCGGCGGACGGGUGAGUAACACGUGAGUAACCUGCCUUUGACAUUGGGAUAGCCUCGGGAAACUGGGAUUAAUACCAAAUGACACUAACUGAUCACAUGAUCAAUUAGUCAAAGAAAUUCGGUCAAAGAUGGACUCGCGGCUGAUUAGCUAGUUGGUGAGGUAACGGCCCACCAAGGCGACGAUCAGUAGCCGGCCUGGGAGGGUGAUCGGCCACAUUGGAACUGAGACACGGUCCAAACUCCUACGGGAGGCAGCAGUGGGGAAUAUUGCACAAUGGGGGAAACCCUGAUGCAGCGACGCCGCGUGAGCGAAGAAGGCCUUCGGGUCGUAAAGCUCUUUUAUGAGGGAAGAUAAUGACGGUACCUCAAGAAAAAGCCCCGGCUAACUACGUG